GAAGCAGAAGCAGAAGCCAAAGCCAAGCACCCUUCACUCCAUGACCUUCGAAUAGGAUACGAAACAUUUGUGCACUUAGACAUCCCAUGAGGGCAAGACUCCUUGGAUUUAUUAUGAAGAGCACAUCGGCAGUUACGAUGGUAAGGGCGGCGUCCUAUCCCAGAGUCACAGCCGGAGAGACAACCAUCGUAGACGAACCGGAAAAAGCCUUCGGCAGCUCCAGUGGCCAUCUGCCUCACCAGAAGAUGAAGAAGAAGAGGAAAUGGCGUGUG
rnacentral:misc_RNA from 1 species